rnacentral:lncRNA from 1 species
AUUCCUUGAAGUACAAUAUCUACAACAUUUCAUUGAUACCAUUACAAAACAAUCAGUAUGUAGAUAGUUACUUCCAUUGAUAAUUAACUAUCUCUUAAUUACACAAACUUUCAAACUCCAUUGCAUUUCUAUUGAUCGCAAUAUUAAAAAAACAUGUUGUUUGAUAAAUUUCUAUCAAAUUUAAUUAUAAAUCAUAAAGUGUAAAUCAAUGUCGCGCAAAUGGCAACUCUAAAUACUAAUUAUAUCAAAAGUUAACCGAUUACAGGGGGAACAUGCAUUUAUGAAAAGGGAAGACGCUUCAUGGAAAUGGUCUCAAUACAAUGCAAUAUGUAGAAAAAUUUCCUUACAGGAGAAUCUGAGGGUAUUUCGUUUAUAUUGCUGAUAUAUAAAUUGUUAUCACAAACCUAUUCUUUGAAUUACAAUAUAUACAACAUUUCAUUCAAACCAUUGCAAAAUAAGUAGCAUACAGUAUAUAUAGAUAAUAACUUCAAUUGAUAACUACAUAUCUCUUUAUCAUAUAAAACUUUCAGACGCCAUUGAAUUUUUAUUGAGCACAUUAUUGAUAAAAUAAUUGUUUGAUAAAUGUACAACUAAUUUAAUUUGAAGCUUUAAAGUUUACAUCAAUUUUAAUCACAUGACAAUUCUAAAUACUAAUUACUGUGGAUUCAUUUAUUUUCGUGGACAACAAUUUUCGUGGAUGAAAAAAAAUGGAUGUUCGUGGACAUUUCAUUUCGUGGUUCUGCCGAAGUUAUUCUUCAAGCCCUUGGAAAAUUUGUCAUUAGUUGAACAUUUAAUUUCGUGGUUCACCAGUGUUCACCUUUACCUACAAAAUCCACGUAAAUUGGUAUCCAACGAAUAAUAAGGAAUCCAAAGUAGAACACGUGUAAACAAAAAAUGUAUUAAUGAAAAGGAAUAAUGGUAAACAUAUGUAGAAAAUAACUUUACAGAAGAAUGUGAGGAUAUUUCUUUUUUUUC